rnacentral:rRNA from 1 species
GAUGAACGCUGGCGGCGUGCCUAAUACAUGCAAGUCGAGCGAACGGACGAGACGCUUGCUUCUCUGAUGUUAGCGGCGGACGGGUGAGUAACACGUGUAUAACCUACCUAUCUGACUGGUAUAACUUCGGGACACCGGCGCUAAUCCCGUAUAAUCUUUUGCACCGCAUGGUUCAAAAGUGAAAGACGGUCUUGCUGUCUGUUCUCGAUGGAUCCGCGCUGCAUUAGCUAGUUGGUAAGGUAACGGCUUACCAAGGCAACGAUGCAUAGCCGACCUGAGAGGGUGAUCGGCCACACUGGAAGUGAGACACGGUCCAGACGCCUACGGGAGGCAGCAGUAGGGUAUCGGCCGCAAUGGGCGAGAGCCUGACGGAGCAAGGCGGCGUGAGAGACGAAGGUCUUCGGAGCGGAAAAAUCUGUUAUGAGGGAAGAACAGAUGUGGAAGGAAAUGAGCAGAGAGUGACGGUACUUAAUCAGAAAGCCACGGCUAACUACGUG